GAUGAACGCUAGCGGCAGGCCUAACACAUGCAAGUCGAGGGGCAUCGCGGUGCAGCAAUGCACUGGCGGCGACCGGCGUACGGGUGCGUAACGCGUAUCCAACCUGCCGCUUACUCGGGGAUAGCCUUUCGAAAGAAAGAUUAAUACCCGAUGGUAUAAAGAGUUCGCAUGUUCUCUUUAUUAAAGAAUUUCGGUAAGCGAUGGGGAUGCGUUCCAUUAGAUAGUUGGCGGGGUAACGGCCCACCAAGUCUACGAUGGAUAGGGGUUCUGAGAGGAAGGUCCCCCACAUUGGAACUGAGACACGGUCCAAACUCCUACGGGAGGCAGCAGUGAGGAAUAUUGGUCAAUGGACGCGAGUCUGAACCAGCCAAGUAGCGUGAAGGAUGACUGCCCUGUGGGUUGUAAACUUCUUUUAUAAGGGAAUAAAGUGAGGGACGUGUCCCUUUUUGUAUGUACCUUAUGAAUAAGGAUCGGCUAACUCCGUG
rnacentral:rRNA from 1 species